CUUUUUUUUUUUUUUUUUUCCGAAAGGGAUUAGGAGGUAAUGGGCAUUAUUGUAUUGUUACCAAUAAGAUAACAGUUGUUACCUAUAUAAAAUGUAUAAUGGCUUCCUUGUUUUUUUUCUACUAAAGAUAAGAAUCCAUGCCUCCAACCCUUCCAGUCAUUGUGCAGCCUCCAUUUUGGUUUUUCUUCUAGUUAAAUCGUUUAAAAAUCUUACCACUUGAAAAUUAAUACGAUUCAACAAGGCAAAACUGAAGUAAGAAGAGCAUUCUUCAAUCUCCAUGAAAUAGAUGUGUUAGUCAUUCCACUUAAAUCAUGGAAUGAAUGUGGUUAUUUGAUGUAUUUAUAAAAAUUAAUUUGCCGUCUUCUUAUCUUUAGUUAACUCUGUCAAUGCACAAUAGAUUACUACGUUUUGCAUAGCAAUUGGCCAUUACUGAUUCGUUACAGCCACAACAGCUCCAUUUCCAUUACACACGACCACAAUAGUGACUUAAUCUAUACCGAAAAAGUUGGCCAUUAGGGGAAGAUGACUUAGAAACCUUAUCUACCCACGUUAAGCUCCCACAUAAAACAUUGGGAUCACACAAAUUCAUUUCAAAUUUUGCUAAAGUUCGAGUUCUACAGAAAAUGAUGAAAAGAACUUCAACUGUUAAAAAACAAAAUCAUUCCCAAAAACCUUAGUACUUGUCACACAACAAUCAUACAAUCACUAUAGUUUGCCACUGAAAACCAGAGACAGGCAUUGUAAGUUACCUUCAAAACCUUCCUGUCCUCUGG
rnacentral:misc_RNA from 1 species